rnacentral:rRNA from 1 species
UGCGUAGGCGGCUAUGUAAGUCAGAAGUGAAAGCUAUCAGCUUAACUGAGGAAUUGCUUUUGAUACUGCAUAGCUUGAAUAAGGUUGAGGUCGGCGGAAUGUGGCAUGUAGCGGUGAAAUGCAUAGAUAUGCCAUAGAACACCGAUUGCGAAGGCAGCUGGCUAGACCUUUAUUGACGCUGAGGCACGAAAGCGUGGGGAGCGAACAGGAUUAGAUACCCUGGUAGUCC